rnacentral:lncRNA from 1 species
UGCAGCUGCAAGAUGGAGAACAGAAGCAGCUUGAUUUGGGGAUUUGAAAUGCACUUCCAGAAAGAACCUGGCCAGGAAUCCUGACUUUAAGAAGAACCUAAAGAAAGGUCCUCACUUGACAAAGACUGUGACCACAAAGCCUCAGAGACCCAGUAAUUCAUACCUGCUGGCC